rnacentral:rRNA from 1 species
UACGGGGGGUGCAAGCGUUAUUCGGAAUUAUUGGGCGUAAAGGGAGCGUAGGCGGUUGAAUGAGUCAGAUGUGAAAGACCUUGGCUUAACCAAGGGAGUGCAUUUGAUACUAUUUGACUUGAGUAUGGGAGAGGGAAGUGGAAUUCCUGGUGUAGGGGUGAAAUUCGUAGAGAUCAGGAGGAACACCGGUGGCGAAAGCGACUUCCUGGACCAAUACUGACGAUGAGGCGCGAAGGUGUGGGGAGCAAACAGG